rnacentral:rRNA from 1 species
GGGAUAAGCGCUGGAAACGGCGUCUAAUACUGGAUACGAGUAGCGACCGCAUGGUCAGUUACUGGAAAGAUUUAUUGGUUGGGGAUGGGCUCGCGGCCUAUCAGCUUGUUGGUGAGGUAAUGGCUCACCAAGGCGUCGACGGGUAGCCGGCCUGAGAGGGUGACCGGCCACACUGGGACUGAGACACGGCCCAGACUCCUACGGGAGGCAGCAGUGGGGAAUAUUGCACAAUGGGCGCAAGCCUGAUGCAGCAACGCCGCGUGAGGGAUGACGGCCUUCGGGUUGUAAACCUCUUUUAGCAGGGAAGAAGCGAAAGUGACGGUACCUGCAGAAAAAGCGCCGGCUAACUACGUGCCAGCAGCCGCGGUAAUACGUAGGGCGCAAGCGUUAUCCGGAAUUAUUGGGCGUAAAGAGCUCGUAGGCGCUUUGUCGCGUCUGCUGUGAAAUCCGGAGGCUCAACCUCCGACCUGCAGUGAGUACGGACAGACUAGAGUGCGGUAGGAGAGAUUGGAAUUCCUGGUGUAGCGGUGGAAUGCGCAGAUAUCAGGAGGAACACCGAUGGCGAAGGCAGAUCUCUGGGCCGUAACUGACGCUGACGAG